AGGAAGCAUUUAUUUAAGAUUCCCAUCAUGCUGGGAAGCUGUAGCAAGGGGUACAGCUCAGGGAAGGACAGGAUGUUGCCAGGAUCUGGGGCAGGGCCAAGGGCAAAGGGCACAGAAGGAACGGAUGUUGGAAAGGGAACGCGAGGCCCUCCGGAUUGAAGGUCUCACCGUGGAGACCAAGGAUGAGUCGGAAGAUGCAUCAGAAGGUUGCAAGAUGACGUGACCAGCAUGCUGCACACAUCCUUAGGAAAAGCCGUGGGCCUUGGUUAAUGUUGAUUUUGAACCUCCGCUGUGCUUUAAUGAGAGCUAUAAAGGGUCCACUCCAGAAGUGGGAGACCAGAGAAGGCAGCCAAGACACAUUCCCCCCAGCGCCCUCCAGGCUCUGCUGAUGGGAUUGCCCAGCAUCUCUCUGCUCAGAAAGGUGGGGAUCAUAGGAGCAGACCCAAGAUGGAGCACGGGUUCCUCACCCCCACCUCUCCAUCCAUCUGGACAGAUCUCGGACUCAGGGACAGAAGCUUCUAGAUAAUAUGUCUGUGGUUCAAAAUCAUGAGUCAGUUCGUAUCUGGCCAUCUUGGUCCUGGGGACAGUUUGGGACUGUCAAAUGGGACAGGCUGAUAUCCUCCUCGUUCUCAAGAAAAUGAUGGGAAGUAUUUUCUUCCUCCCCUCCCUUACUUCCCUUCCCCCUUCUCCUCUCCCCUCUUUCCCUUUUCUUUCCUCCCCUUCUCCUCCUCCUUCUUUUUCCUCCCCUCCCCCACUUUAUUCUGGAGCUGGAGAUGAACCCCAGGGUCUAACAUAUACUGGGCAAGUGCUCUGCUUCCCACUGAUCUAAACCCUAGCCCUGGUAUCAGUAGUUUGGUGGCCACUGAUCAGCCCUGUGCUAACACAUUGAGUCCUGUCUAUAACUCGAAAUGGCAACACAUGAGUACUUAGAUCUUUAUUUUCCAGCCUAUUCAGAGACGGUAGUUCACUUUCCUUAGGUAGCCCAGCUAGAAAGUGAUAGCCUGAGGGUUUGAACUCAAGUGGGUUGACUGGAGAGUCUACAGUAAAGGAGAUGGCACUCUUUGUUUUACUGGAAUUCUCUUUAGCCCCAUAGCUAAAAGGAUCAGGCUCCUUCCCACCUCUGUGCUUCCUUAGGCACUAAGGAGAUGGAAGGGAGUGACUGCUCGAUACCAAAAGUCAAUGUGCAGAAGAGAUGAGGGACAUGCCAAUCACAAAGCUUAUGUCUUCAGGAAAACCUCUCCCAGCUGAGCCCAGAGCUCACUGAGUUGCUUAGUCUGGCUAUCCAGCUUGCCCCCAAGGAGCCCCUAAGCACUGGGCUUACAGGUGAGUGCCACGCCUGCCCACCAUAACAUGGGUUCUGGGCUCUGAACUCAGGUCCUCUCACUUGCAUGCUUGACGCGCCGAGCCACCUCCUCAGCUCCUCAUCUCUCAGUUUACAUUUCCUUUUGACACAGCAUCUCCUGAUUUUCCCAAGAUGGUCUUGACCUCACACUGUAGCCCAGGCAGGCCUUGAACAUGUCAUGCUCAGUCACAGCCUCCUGAAGACCUAGGGUGACAGGCAUAUGACAUCAGGACUAACUAGUUUUGCUCCAUCAAGUGUGGCUGUAGACACCGAUGGAUGACCAUGUCUCCAUGUCCCACACUGUGAGAACACCUCCCUGGGCAGUGAGCCUGGGCAUAGUUUUUACCAUAAUCGAUCCUGCCAGCUUACCCAGAGGAGGCCAGGGAUGCAGACAGCCACCCGGAACUAGAUGGGACCAGCUUGCAAUAAGAAUGUCCUUGCCUUUUCAAGUGUCCAAGCACAGGUAGCUCAGCUUCUUGGCUCUCCUACUGUGCGGAGAUGUGAUUCCAACUCACCACACAUACCUGGACCAGCCCUAUAAUCUCUACUUUCCCCACCGUGCAACUUCCACUCUAUACAAGUCACAUCAAGAACAGCAAGCAGCUACAGCUGGGAGGGAGGCGAAGCUAUCUUUCAUACAGGCUUGGCAACACCGUCAGGGACACUUUCCAAGAACCCCAUGUCUCUUAUCUAUCUUAUUUCAGCCGAGGACAUCUUGCCCAACUCCCUUGGGAUUCUCUGGGGUUUAGAAUAAAAGCAUGGCAGUAUAGAUCCCAAGUCUGAAACCUGUAGCUGUGAGGCCUUAAAAAUAUUCAGUGUCUAUACGGCAAGCCAUUCAGACCCUGCCUGGUAACCGCAUCAAUUCUAUUGGUUGGUAGAUGGACCCAGUUUACAACUAUGCCUGUCAUGAAUGGUUGGUGAGUUUCAUCACCCUGGGAGGGGUGUGGGUGUGUGUGUGUAUGGGUGUGUGAGUGUGUCAUAAGACAGGCCAGGCAAUUGAAACAUGCAGACCCGGAUCCGAUCUUGACCUCGGAUAGGAAGGAAACCAGUGUGUACCCAAUCGCCGGUACCCAUUGCUGCAACUGACACGGCCUUUGAAUCAUCUUUUGAUCUCGUUCAAAGCCUCUCUGCUAUCUCAUCGGUCCAUCAAAGGCCUGCGAUGAAGGCCAGCAGAGUCCGGCCCAAGGAGAGAUGAGUCAGUGCUGAAGUCAAGGCUAGAAGCUUCCUUGAGUAGCAGCAGUCUUCUGUCUGGGGCUCAUCCCCUGAUCCUGCCAGCGGGGAGGGUUCUAUAGUUUAGGCCAGACCCAAAAUACUCUGUAAGAGACUUCCUUUCCCUGUGAACUUGUGUUCCAAUCCCUGCUAAACUGAUGGCAGAGAGGACUCGUGGCUUGCAAGAGAGGCCAGAAAAAAAUGUAUACUGUCUUUUUACGUGGGAUUGCAAGUCUCAAGCCCAGGUCCUAUAACUGAGGUACUUCAACAUGCUGCUGGUAACUGUGUGUUAGGGGCUGUCUCAGGUGAUGGCUAACUUUGUUUACUGUCCCCACGUCAUCUUGACAAUGAGCCACAUGCCCUUGUGUCAUCUCAAGGGCUCUCACCAACCCUGGAGAGCCUGCUAGGAUACCACACAGUCUCUAGAUGUUCUCUCUCGUUCUUCCCAGCCUAUUCCAAAGUGCAAAGCUCAGCAUUUCUCUAUGGAGAAGGCCAGACAUCCCCGUCAACCUGCUCAGAGUAGGACCAUGUGACGUUUUCUUAGGGAACAGUCAUUUUUUGUCUCCAUGGGGCCACCCUAAGACUUUGAGUCUAGAAUCAACACAGUUGAGGCUGGCCCUUACCUGGGGUGGGCCACCCACAGCUGUGCGACUUUGCAAAAUUCGUCUCAUCUCUCUGAUGUCGUGCUUCUUAAUGGUACAAAGUGAACCAUCCCAUCAGCACCUGGAAGAUGCUAAUGAAGCCUUUGCCAUGCAUGCAGGAGGACCUGAGUUCAAGACCCCAAACCCAUGUUUAAAAACAGACAUAAAAGCAAAAC